GAAGAAAGACGCUUUGGAAGUAAAGAAAGAAUGGUUCCCGGAGAAGAAGAAACCGAUGUCAGGUNGGAGUCCAUGUUUUGGUGUGUGAGAAAGUUGUCAUCAUCAGCAGUAGUAGUGAGAUUGGGUACGGUAUGUUGUUGUGGGAACGGGAAGGGGUUUAUGGUAAUUGGAG